UUUCCGUAGGUGAACCUGCGGAAGGAUAAUUACUGAGUGAGGGCCCCUCGGGGUCCAACCUCCCACCCGUGUUUAACGAACCUUGUUGCUUCGGCGGGCCCGCCUCACGGCCGCCGGGGGGCAUUUGCCCCCGGGCCCGCGCCCGCCGAAGCCACCUGUGAACGCUGUCUGAAGUAUGCAGUCUGAGACAAUUAUUAAAUUAAUUAAAACUUUCAACAACGGAUCUCUUGGUUCCG
rnacentral:misc_RNA from 1 species